rnacentral:rRNA from 1 species
UUUAUUGGAGAGUUUGAUCCUGGCUCAGGAUGAACGCUGGCGGCGUGCCUAAUACAUGCAAGUCGAGCGUCGAGC